CAACAUUACUCUGUUCAGGAAGUCAUGUGUUUGUUUGGCAGAGUGAGAAGACUACAAAGGGAAAAAGAAAUGGCGCUUAGCCUUGCGUUGUUGGCAGCUGGCGUGGCACCAGUGUCUGCGGCAGAACCGCUCGGCGUCAUCGAGAGUCUCUUUUUGGCCACCCAUCAGCGUCCCUGGCUCUGGGCGGUCUACGUCUUCAUCGUUGGACUUCCCAUCAUUCUUUUCAUUAGCUUCAUGUGGCCCGACAAGAGGUUUGGCCCCCCUGAUCAGCAAUAUUACUACAAGAAGUCUGAUGACAUACAACAUGAUGAUCUUGAAAGUUCACAGAAGAAAAAGCCGAAGCCCAUCUGGGCUGACAGAACAUCUGCAAGAAGAAGAGAUGCUCAUGGCAACCAAAGUAAUAGUGGUCUUUAAGGACCAGUUUGUCUUGGGAGACCCUACCGGUGGGCAUGAAGCCCCCGGACAACAUAGCUCCUAGGAUCAUUGAGACACGCAAACUCCUCUACCACGGUUCAUCAAUGCAGAUGAAAGACCACCCACACCACAAGCCUAAGAGGAUGCCACACCAUAACAUCGCUGGAAAUUUUAAUAAAACAUAUCAUUGGUUCAUUAUUUGUACAGUUUGAUGUUACACCCCAAUAGGAAAUUCUAUCUGGCAAUGUUCCAUAUU